GUGGCCCAGAGUAAGAAGUCUCUCUGAAAUCAACACAUCCUGCAGCUUGUUCUUCAGCUCACUGCUGAUGCAGAGACUGUCCACUGAAGGAAGGAAGACACAGUCAAAGGUUACCUGAGGCAGGCAUCACCAGCACCGGGGGGCUCCAGGGUCCACAGCCAACCGCGGUGCAGGCUGCCACCUGGAUGGAGGCGUUGAAGAAACGGGCUGCGUCCAACAUCGGAGUAGAGUUCUGCUUAAACAGCAGAGGUUCCUGGAGACACACAGUUGGAGAUAUGAAGAACUGUAGCUGGUUCUGGAACCGCUAGGACAGAACAGGACCCUCCAUCAGACCCUGAAUGCCCCCCAGGCCAUGCAGGUUGAUGGCAGCGACAGGGAGCUGCUGCUUGAGUCUGUCCUGAUUGCUCUAGAUAAUAUCCUCUCUGAUCUGUAAUUUAAAAAAACAACAA